CUUUUCCAGCCUUAAUGAUUCCAUGGUUCUGAAAAUAGUGUUGAGUCAUGGCCAGAUUAGGGAUACUCAUCCCUUGCACCUCUUAAGUGCCUCUGGAUGCCUUCUCUGCGCAGAUCCUCAGCGUGCCAGCCCAGCUCAUGCCCAGGGGGAAGGUGACUGCAUGACCCCAGGGCAUUCUGGCCAUGGUGUGCCCCAUGCCUGGGUGCCAGCUGCAGUCCCCACAGCCACCUCCUCCACAGCUCCCAAAUUAUCCCACUGCACGGCGUGCGAGGCACGAGCAAACCUGCGACAGAGACAUGGGAUGGCAGGAUGGGACAGCUGAUUUUAAUUAUUUUAUAUAUAAAUAACUUGCAGAUAAUUUGCAAGUUUGGCAAUAGCUGCCGGCGUAGCAAUGUGACCUUGUUACUCUUACCCCAUUCCUCCGGGUGUUUGUCUCACUCACUUGUUUUUUCGUGUCUUAAAUUAGAUUGCAAGUGGUCAGGGAAGGGGCUGGGGCCACCCCUGCCCCACACAGCCCCACGGUCCCACAGCAGCAACAACAACAAAUGGGGAUAAGACAUCGAUUUGGGAUCUGCUGAGUCCCUGGGGAUAUGAAAACUCCAAGUGUUGUGUUUUUCCCUGGGAUGGGCUUUUCAGCCCCCAUCCUCCAGCUCCACGUGAGGCUCUUUGCUGGCGGCCGGGCACAAGGCAGGGGCUGCCUCAUCAUUCCAGAGGGAUGUAGGGAUGAGGAGGGGGACGGGUGUCCUGGAUUUUAGCACUUUGGGGAGUUUAUUAGUGUUGACAGUGUGUGAACUUGACAUCCUUUGUAAUAAUGCGGUUUUAAAAUCUGCAUUAUUCAUGCGCGCUGUUUGAAUACAGGCCCACUGUGUAAGUUCAGGAGGAAAAUUAAUUAAAUAAAUGUCAGCAUCCUUGAAGAGCACGUGAGAUUUCACAUUGCAGGAUAACAGCUCUGGCUGCUUUAACCACCAAAGGGAGUAAAGGGUGGGAAGGGGAAGAUCUGCACUUAGGUGAAUAGACUUGCCCUCACUGAUUCCUGAGGAAAGCUGAAAAGAUUAGAAAGAAAUCAGUCCAGCCACAAAGAUCACUAAUAUUUCAUAUUUUUAUUAAUAAUUGUCAUUGGUUCUACUAUUUAUUUAUAUACACUGGAUAGUUCUGAAUUAUUUUUUCCCAGGAAACACCCAUUUAGUCUAAGGUUAAGGUUUAAAAUAAAAGCAUAGAGCAGAUGCCUGAGGAUGCACUGGCUGGAUAAAUUGGACAACUCUACCAGUGGGUGGAAAGGGAAUUACAUCCAUGAAUAUUAUUUGCAAGAGUAACAGAUAGUUAGAAAAGUUGUGUUUCUGCUGAAGCACCCAGGAAAGGGUGAUGGGACAAAAGCUGCCAGGAUAGAUGAACAGGAAAUAAAGGUUUUAUGUGAAGCUUGUAGGUAUUUUUAAUGAGGAGGAUUUACCUUUAAUUCUGUAGCAGGAGGUUGAACCUUUCCAGGCUGGGAAUGGCAGCAGGACUGACCAGGAAUGCUUUUUUGAACACAGGGCUCCUGCAGAGCCUGUUAGUUUAGUUAACUACUAACUUGGUAGUUAAAAAUUAGAAAAAGAAAGAAAAUUUUACUUGUUAGGUCAAAUCAAGACUUUGUUCUGGUUGCUGUAGUUUUCUCAGAAGGAAGGGAACAACUUCCAUCUUGUUGAAAGAAGGUGUAGGUAUCCAUCCCUGAUGGAGAUCACUGAGCUCUCAUACCAAGCACUUGACUUUCCUGGGGCUUGGUGUUUACCCUCCAAAUUCUUUAAUACCUCUGUGCAGGACCUUCCCAGUAAAGUGUGUUUAAUAGAAUCCUAAAAUCCCAGAAUGAUUUGUAUUUGAAGAGAUCUUAAAACUUCUCUCAUUCCACCCCCUGCCAUGGGCAGGGACACCUUCCACUAUCCCAGGGUGGUCCAAGCAUUGUCCAGCCUGGCCUUGGACACUUCCAGGGAUGGGGUAACAACAGUUUCUCUGGACAACCUGUGCCAGGGGCUCACCACCUUCAAAAGGGAGAAAUUUCUGUUAAAUGGGAGAAGCUUUUCUUCCAAAGUGAGCAGGGCAGGGCACUAAAGGGCUCGUUUGCAUUGACAUGAGGAUCAGGAGUUGCUCUUGAGGUGGGUGCAGUGAGUGGCUGGGAUGGUCUGUGGUAUGCUGCACCUGUGAAAUAAGCUGGAAAAAAAAAGGAAUUGGGAGUGCCACAGUGAUUGUGCACAGGUCUACUCCCAAAGUCAAGUGUACAUAAAGUCCUUGCAGCACUCCAGUGAUUUUGAAUUGCUUGACAUUGUGGGAGCGCUCCAAUCUCGGUCUCUUUGAACCUCAAGAGCCUCGGUGUUAUCUGAAGCACAGAAUCAUUUUAUAACCCAGGCAAACAACAUCCUCACCUCCCAGGUUUGAAUGUGAGGAUGUGUGGUUACACACACCCGUGCUCACAGUUUAAUGCACAGGGCGGGGGGAGAGCGAGGAAUCCGUGCCAGCAGGAGAGCCCAGAAUGCACUUUCCCACUAAUGCUGAGAAGCAACAAAAUCAGGUUGCAGGCCAUGAAUGUCCUGUCACUGAGAAAGGGGAGUUUAGAAAUAGGCCCACAGAUAAAGGAGGGCAUUUAUCCCCACGAUUGUUUGGCAGAAAAAGCAAUUUCCAUAGUCUGCUGAUGGUCAGUCAGGAACGUGCUGCAAGGGGCCCACAGUUGUCUCGGAUGGAGCUGACGGUUUUACUGGCCGAGUUUUGUUUCAACUUAAUGAAGUAAGUACUUUGCCUGCAUCCAGGCACAGACGGGGAAGGUUUGUAAACUCCUCGCCUUUGUUGGGGUGACUGAAGUAUUUUUUUCUUCUUUUUAACCAGCCAUUUUUGUUUCUUCUCAAAUUCCUUGCCAUUGACAAAGGGUGCGUUUACUGUUAAAAAAAAAAAAAAAAAGGAAGGAAGAAAAAGGCUUUAAACCUGGUUUGCAUCUUGAAUCCUGAAAAGCCCAUUUUUUAUGCAGGGGAAGAAGAGAGCCUUAGAAAAGGCAGGAGGCAGGGACGGAGGUGAGGGGGUGGGGAGCUGGAGAUUUAUGUCCCUUUGAAGACAGCUUUUCUGCCCAGCAUCCUGCCCGGGUACCGUGGGCUGCAGUGGUGGGACCAGGCUGGAACCUGCACCUCGCCAGGAGCCAGACCCAGCAGGGACCCAGUGGGGACACAGGUCCUGCCGGAUCCCCAGGACCUCCCAGGGCCACUGAUCCUACACCCACCCCAGCCAGCAUGGAUGUUUAGCUUGAGAUCAUCACACAGCCUGAGGUUUUUGAGGUGGUUUUUCUUUUUUUAACUUGAUGUGGAAGCGGUUGUUUGAUACCAGCCUGUGCUGGAGCACAGCAGCCUGCCCAUGCUCCAGGAGAGGGGCGCAUGGGCAGCCCGAAUCCUGCUCAGCAAUACAAUAAUAAUUGAAGAUAUUUAAAAAUGUAUGUAUCUUCCAUCUUUCCCAUAUGGGCUCCUUAGGCAACAUGACCUUAUGUGGCCAUUAUCUGACCUCUCUUACACUUGGAUUACUCGGUACAAAGCAAAUUUAUGGUUGUUUAUUCUCUCCUCCUAUCAGCUAUUAGUGCCUAAUCAUAUGGUCUAUCGAUCAAGUGAUUAAUCGCCUGCCUAAAGAGGCAGCAGGUCCCGGGGAAUGCUGCACUGCACCAGCCUGAACUUCAACCUCUUAUACAAACCGGCGGAGUAAAGGCAUUAGUCACUGCCUGCAGCCCGGGGCUGGAAUGCCGCGGGAACGCCAGGAGGUAAAGCCCCGGCUUUCUUCAGCAGCCGACUUUGUAUUUCCCUUUCUUAAUGGAUAAAACUCCACCUAACUGAGCGGGCAUACAGUUGUAAAUGGGAUGAUUUCCAAUGCAUCCUAUAAAUAAUGAUCAAAGAGGAAAAUAUGUGGGCCUUAUUACAACAGUGCCCGCUAGUGCUGCUAUAAUUAAGGGUCUGUCAGCAUUUCUAUUAUAAACCCUUAUUUUCAAGGGUUUAUAACUCGGCCAUAAAAUUUUGCUCUGGCUGAGACUUGGCAUAAAACGUCCCAGCAUGUGACCAGUUUUUCUUGUUACCAAAUUGUUAAAAACCUAGCGAUCAGCCCCUUUUUAGUUAUAACAACAUCCAAGCACCUUUGUGUUUCAGAACCACUUUUACUUCUUAAACAAGCCGCUUACUAUUAAAUCAAAAUUAGCAUUUGAAAUCAAAAGUACGCACUGAGCCUCUCUGCUCUUUAUUUUAACCAGCCCUAAAAAAGGAACAUGUUAUUCCCUUCUGCCUGGGGUUAGGUUGAUGGCACCCACGCCGUUGCCAUCAGUGGGACACGCUGUGGCCAGAGUCUUGGAAGGGUCUUAGAGGGUGCAGGGCUGGCAUUGGGUCCUCAGCUUGUCCAGCUUUGCAGGGCUCCCUGGUUUUCCAUGUGCUCAAAGCAGCAAAUAGUAAAACCAGUAGGCUGAUUUCAGCCAUCAAUGAUUCUGUAUAAAUCCAGAGUACUGGAAAUGGGAGCCCUGGACACUCCAGUUUAGCCGAAGUGCUGACCUGCCUUAAGUGGAUUUAUUCCUCUGUGAUCCAUGCACAUUAACUCCUGCUAAUGAGAAUUAUGGCUUAGUCCAAGGGGGGAAUCUAGAGUUCAGUUUGAGCGAAACUGAGGGAAUUUCACUCUAAGAACACAUACUAAAUUUUAAAAAUGAAAGGUUGCCAUACCUGUACUUCUCUGGUUUCAACGGGAGUAUGUUCCAUUUCCAGAAACAUGUCCUUGAUUUGUUAGCAAAGGACAGCAAGUUGGCUCAAAAAGAUGCAGCCACUUAAAAACAUUGAUUCUCCCAGGACAACACGCCAAAAUGCAGAAAUAAAUUAAACAUAAGCAGAUGCUGUACCUCCUUUCCAUUUUUGGCUAGCACGUCCCAUUGUGGGACUACUAGUGGGACAACUGAGAAUGACUGACAUUUACUCAAACUUAAGGCCUUCUUGGACUGUCCUGGCAAAAGUGACAAAAAUUCAGGCUUGUGCUAGUAUUACAUCUGAAUGUUUCACUGACUUCUUAAGGCAUGUAUUACAUCAGUAUACUUUAUCUUCCAUGCCAGUUUUAUACUACUUCUCUGUCUUAAAAGGACCUGAUCAAGUUUGCUAACAUCAUCUUGGAUUUUCAAAGGAGCACUAGGGAAAUAUGGACCCAAACUCCUGUUGAAAAUCCCCACCUCAAAACUCCCCCCGCAGAGUUCUUACCCUGGCAGGGAUCCCACAGCUAAGCUCUUUCCAUUUCCAGAAAAAUCAUUGAGCUGAGGCUAAGAACACUCAUCUGGUGCCUGUCGAGUGUAUUGUCUGAAUAUAAACACAAUGAUUCUGGAGCAGGGAAAGAGCCUGAGACUUAAAUGGAUUUACACUGACUAAGAACCUGGCCUUCCACACUCGACUUCUGACAUUACUUGAAAGUAAACAUUGAUCUCAACUAUUUUGUGAUUUACACAGUGGUUUAAGAUGCGUGCAGUGACCAGGCAGUUGCUCUUACUGUAAGCCUUACCAGGUUUGAUGUUUUCCUUAAGGUUCCAGGUAACCAAAAAUUUCCAUGUGUAUCUCAGCUGCCAUAAAAAGAAAAAAAAAAAAAAAAGAAAAAAAAGAAGAAAAAAGAUGAAAGCUCAAGUUUCUGACUCUUGAGAAAAGCCUGAAAAUGUUCCUCGUCUGCACUUUAACGGCUCAGAAAGCAGAAGGCAAAGAGAAAAAAAGGAGUUUGAAAAUGCCAUGCUUUUUGAGAUGUGACAUAUGCUUUUGCUGUGCUCCGGGUUGGCAGGAGGCGUUGCAUGGUGGAUGCAGCCCCGCCAGAAAGCAGGUGCGGGAGCCCGAGCGAGCGGCGCUCCCUCCGUUCCGCUGGAGUCGGAGCCAUCCAGUCGCUUUUCCUUACUCCUGUGCCCCACUGAGCAGCAGAUUGUCUGCAGGAGAUGGGAUAAAUAGUUGUGGAUGUGCCCUGAAAUCAUCGUGUUGGGUGGUUAACAUGGGAGCCCCUACUGAAGGGCUCGUGCUGUUACCCUGCGGUGACGAGUCAUGAGUUUUGUGUCUCAGAGCUGCAGGAGGGCCAGAAAUGCCAGGACAGAAAUAAAUCCACCUGCUGGGCAACCCAAGACUCUCACUUUCAUGUGCUGCAGGUCAAAGACUGUGGGUGAGCGGUUUUCAGGAUGACAGUGGUGACCCAGGUGCUCCUCCAGCCUGGCACAGCACAGAGCUGGAUGUGAUGUGGGUUCCCAGGGAAUCCCCCAUGGGCUGUUCCAGGGGGCUGUUUCUUCUCCAGCCUGGGGUUUGGCUAAUGGAGCAGUGUGUGUGCCCCAGGGUCCAUGGGGCCCCUCCAGUCACCUUUCACCAGACUGUCCCUAAGCUGGAGGGUCUCUGCAGUGAUGCUCCUUGAAGUCUUUGGUCCCAUCUCUCCAUGUCUUCUGCAGGGAUACAAAAUCUGGGACCCCUCUCACAUCUGUAGUGUUGCUGUGGGCGGCUCCUGCUCAAGGACAAAGCAGGAUAUCCCCUUUGCCCCCUUGUUCUCACUGAGAGUGUUACUUUACCUAACUUUAAAUGAGGGAAGGCUCUUCUGCACAGCACAUUUUUGGUUACAUGGCAGAGAAGAGCCAAGGUCUAUCUCCAUGUGGCCCUUCUCCAUGUGGGCUCCUGCAAGCAGAGCACCCAGGGCACAGCCUGGGCAGCUGCAAAUUGCUUUUCCAAAGCCAUCAAGGGAGUUCUGUAAAUUUACUCUGGACUGGUAAUUCCCUUCUUCCCUGUUCCCUGAGUCCUGGAAAUGCUUUUCUCCUUAUGUGAAAAGUGAACCAAAGAUUUUACAAACACUGAGUCUGGCCCCUUAAAUAUGAUAAUUUUAAAAAGUUCAGCAAAAUCCAGGGGCUGGGGGCAGGCAGGGGGGGUUGAUGUUCCUUAUCGAGGGGAGGAAUGAUGGGUUAGCAGCAAUUCCUUCCUCGCAGUUAGUCUGGGUACCAUUGGAAGCAGAAUUUGUCAGUUCUGAAGUGCACAGAUUAGAAAGGAAUGUGGAAUUUGGAAACGUGGCAGCUUGUAGCACUGUAUGGUUUAAAUUAAACCUUUUUUUGGAAAGCAGAAUCGCUGUAGGCCACAUUUAGGGGGAAAGCAACAGCAGAGAGGGCUGGCUGUGGUUUUUGCUUUGCUGUGUAACUGGUCCACUUUCUCUUGUUUUAACACAGAGGUUUUUUUUUUACAUUUAAAAAAAAAAAAAAAGAGGAAAAAUAUAUGCCUCUGGCCUCCUUCUGCCCAACCACAGCCUUCACUGCUGACCACAAAGAGGAAGCCUGGGGAAGCAGCCAUAGGAUUAAUACCCACUGUCUCUUAACCCAACAGGGUGUGAAAACAUUUUAUAAAACAUCUUUUUUUUUUAUUUUUUUUCCUCUUUCAGAUGGAUAGCGUGGCUGGGAUUUAGACAUCUUGAAACAAGCACAUGGUUGCCUUUGCCUUGCAUUGUGCUUCUCAGAGGGGGGAGGUCCUAAAUCACCCUGGCCAGAUCUGUUGUUUAAAAUCUGUUUACACCCAUCUCCAGAGCUUUCUCCUUGCAAAUCAUCAACAACUUUGUUGGUCUCACUGAAAUGGCAGGAAAUAUAAAAAUGAGUCUGCUGCGAGGGCUGCGCGGUGUAGAUCUUGAUCAGUUGGAAUAUAAUUGUUCCUAAUGAAAUGGAGACGCCUAGCUCUUAACUGAACAGCCUUUGCUUCUUUAGAAAUAAUAAGAUUAAGAUUAUGGAUUCUAUUAAUCAUUUGAUCAGCUUUAUUCAUUCAUCUUAUUUCCUUUACAUGCAAAAAAGCCCUGCUCUCUCCAUGCCUUUAUCUUUUAAGAUGAUGACAUUUACAUAUUUCCCGGCGCUGGAACGUCCCGGGCGUAAUAUACAGAUUGCUCCGCUUGGAUCUUGUAAACUGACUAUUUCCAUGUGCUAAGUACUCUCGGUGAUGAAGAUCUUAAUAAUGUGAUUAACUAAAUUGUGUCUUUAUGCUCUUCCUCGCGCCUCCCUCCCUUCCCCACCACGGCCUCCCAGCCGCCGCGCUUACCACAAAUGGCAUCAGCUGCCGGGACGUGCCUGCGGUGGUGACCCCGGUGACAAGGAGGUGUCACAUAGCACAGAGCAGAGAGGUCUGUGUGCCUCGGAGUCAGGGUGUAAUUCAGAUGACCUGUGCAUUAAGGGAAUCUGCUUUCCUGGCGUUAUGCGGGAAAGAUGCUGAAAGCAGGAGUUUGGAAACGUUGAGGGAAUUAUUAGAUGAGAAAUUUGUUCCUCCGCAGCGUAGUGACAGCAUUGUUAUUUCUUGCUUGGAUGUGCUGUUGGGAAGGUUUGAUUUUGUUGUCAUUAGAGAAAUCUCUCUGUUGUUAUAACGCUUUCUAUGUGUGAAGAAAUACAGACAUAAUGUGUAUCUAGUCCAUUAAAACACUCUUUCGGAGCCUC